GACGAACGCUGGCGGCGUGCUUAACACAUGCAAGUCGAACGGAAAGGCCCUGCUCUUGUGGGGUGCUCGAGUGGCGAACGGGUGAGUAACACGUGAGUAACCUGCCCUUGACUUUGGGAUAACUUCAGGAAACUGGGGCUAAUAUCGGAUAGGAGCUCCUGCUGCAUGGUGGGGGUUGGAAAGUUUCGGCGGUUGGGGAUGGACUCGCGGCUUACCAGCUAGUUGGUGGGGUAGUGGCUUACCAAGGCUUUGAAGGGUAGCCGGCCUGGGAGGUUGACCGGCGACAUUGGGACUAAGAUAGGGCCCAGACUCCUACGGUAGGCAGCAGUGGGAAAUAUUGCGCAGUGAGGUGAAGCCUGAUGCAGCAGCGCCGCGUGCGGAAUGACGGCCUUCGGGUUAUAAACCGCUUUCGCCUGUGACGAAGCGUGAGUGACGGUAAUGAGUAAAGAAGCACCGGCUAACUACGUG
rnacentral:rRNA from 1 species